ACACUGGCGGCGUGCCUAUCUUCCUCCUCUAGCGGAANAUUGCGAGCUUGCUCCUUUGUNUUACGGCUGACGGGUGAGUACACGUGGGCAACCUGCCCUGCAGAUCGGGAUAACUCCGGGAAACCGGUGCUAAUACCGAAUAGUUUGCGGCCUCUCAUGAGGCUGCACGGAAAGACGGUUUCGGCUGUCACUGCAUGAUGGGCCCGCGGCGCAUUAGCUAGUUGGUGAGGUAACGGCUCACCAAGGUCACGAUGCGUAGCCGACCUGAGAGGGUGAUCGGCCACACUGGGACUGAGACACGGCCCAGACUCCUACGGUAGGCAGCAGUAGGGAAUCUUCCGCAAUGUACGAAAGUCUGACGGAGCAACGCCGCGUGAGUGAAGAAGGUUUUCGGAUCGUAAACUCUGUUGUGAGGGAAGAACAAGUACCAACUAACUACUGGUACCUUUGACCGGCACCUCACCAGAAAGCCCCGGCUAACUACGUGGCCAACCAGCCGCGGUAAUACGUAGGUUGCNAAGCGUUUUCCAGGAAUUAUUGGGGGUUAAACGCGGGGAGGGGGGCCUUUAAAUCUGAUGGAAAACCCNCGGNUCANCCUUGACGGGCAUUGGAAACUUGGGGAUUUGAUGCAAAAAAGAAGGGGAAUCCCCUGACGGGAAAUGCUUAAAUGGGGAAACCCGGGGAAAAGGAUUUUGCCUUAUUUCCUUAGGCAACCGGGGAAACGUUNACCGGUCCCCCUAAAUAGCAAGGGGGGUCCCUUGGCAACCUAACCCCGGGGGCGGUAAAAAAGGGCCCGGAUUUUACCACCAGGCUUUUCCCCUUUNCGGGGGAAAAAGGCGGGUGAACCAGGGUGGGUGCAAUGGUUGUCGUCAGCUCGUGUCGUGAGAUGUUGGGUUAAGUCCCGCAACGAGCGCAACCCUUGAUCUUAGUUGCCAGCAUUCAGUUGGGCACUCUAAGGUGACUGCCGGUGACAAACCGGAGGAAGGUGGGGAUGACGUCAAAUCAUCAUGCCCCUUAUGACCUGGGCUACACACGUGCUACAAUGGACGGUACAAAGGGCUGCAAACCCGCGAGGGGGAGCCAAUCCCAGAAAACCGUUCUCAGUUCGGAUUGCAGGCUGCAACUCGCCUGCAUGAAGCCGGAAUCGCUAGUAAUCGCGGAUCAGCAUGCCGCGGUGAAUACGUUCCCGGGCCUUGUACACACCGCCCGUCACACCACGAGAGUUUGUAACACCCGAAGUCGGUGGGG
rnacentral:rRNA from 1 species